CGUUAUGGUUCUAUUUUGUUGGUUUCUAGGACCAUCGUAAUGAUUAAUAGGGACGGUCGGGGGCAUCAGUAUUCAGUUGUCAGAGGUGAAAUUCUUGGAUUAACUGAAGACUAACUACUGCGAAAGCAUUUGCCAAGGACGUUUUCAUUAAUCAAGAACGAAAGUUAGGGGAUCGAAGAUGAUCAGAUACCGUCGUAGUCUUAACCAUAAACUAUGCCGACUAGGGAUCGGGUGGCGCUUCUUGCCCACUCGGCACCUUACGAGAAAUCAAAGUCUUUGGGUUCUGGGGGGAGUAUGGUUGCAAGGCUGAAACUUAAAGGAAUUGACGGAAGGGCACCACCAGGAGUGGAGCCUGCGGCUUAAUUUGACUCAACACGGGGAAACUCACCAGGUCCAGACGUAAUAAGGAUUGACAAGCUAGAGACUUCUCUUGAUCUUACGGGUGGUGGUGCAUGGCCGUUUUUAGUCCUUGGAGUGAUUUGUCUGCUUAAUUGCGAUAACGGACGAGACCUUAACCUGCUAAAUAGGGCUGCGAGCAUCUGCUCGUGGGCUCUUCUUAGAGGGACUAUGGGUUUCAAACCCAUGGAAGUUUGAGGCAACAACAGGUCUGUGAUGCCCUUAGACGUUCUGGGCCGCACGCGCGCUACACUGACGGAGCCAGCAAGUACAUCACCUUAGCCGAGAGGCUUGGGUAAUCUUGUUAAACCCUGUCGUGC
rnacentral:rRNA from 1 species